GGCGGGUCCCGCAGCGAUGUUCGCUGCUGCCUCCCGUCGCUCGACGGCUGCCCGCGCCCGCGGCCUGGCGGGUGCCGUGUGACCUCGCGGCGGGGCUGGCCAGGCGUGCGGGGAGGGGCAGCGAGGGGCUGCGGGCGCUGCCCGUGCCGGUGGUGAGAGCGGUGAGCUGAGGCCAGCGUUCCCAGGGCGAGGAGGGGCGCCCGGCAUCCCCCCGCUGCCCUCCCUGCCACACGUGUCCGUUUCAAGCGAAACCGGGGUCCCUACAGCGACGAGCGCAGCGAGGAGUGGGGAGCCCGCUUGGUGCCGUGCCGGCCGCUCCUGCCCAGCCGCGGCUCAUCGGCCGCCCAUGCUGCGCUCCCCUGAGGCAUUUUCCCUUGCCUCCUGGGAAAAAAGAUGUGGAGCAAAGGUACAGCACUGGAGGGAAUUCAUAGGGCAGUACUGGAAGAUGUCCAAACCACUGGACUUUGUCCUUCAUUGCAGUGUGAUUGAGUCUUAGUAUAAUUGGAGAAGUGCUGACUGUCAGCAACAUCAAAUUUUUAAAAAAUUCUUAAUUCUGUCAAAACAAGAAAGGAGGAAACUGGUGAAGAUGAAAUCCUUUGGACUUAAAUCCGCCUACUCAACAACUACAGGGGUAGUUAUAUUGUGUACUCACAUAUUUUAGCACUGAAAGGAUAUUGGGAGUCGCCUAAAGAGAUGUUUCCUAUGGAGUACUAUAAAACUGCCAUAAGUGUAACAAGUUUUUCGUACAGUAGUUUCAGCACAGAUGUAAUCUAUGUACAAUCUUGGAUGUUUAAUCCUGCUGGCUCAAGAGCCAGUGUUGAGCUUUCCUGUUUUAAAUCAAGUCUUACAGCUCUGCAGGGAUCACUGCACCAUGACAUUGUGACAAGGGGAUGCUGAUUCAUGCAUAAACCUUAGAUCCUUUCAUUAUAUCUUCAACCAGCAGCUUUGAAAACCUAUGAAUAUCUAGCAUGUUGCAACUUGAGAGUUAUGGCAAAGGUUUCCCCAGCCAUUUUGGAAUAUAAUGCUAUAGCUUUCAUUCUUGAAUUGAAUAGCAUUCAGCACUCUGCUGGCAAAAUGCUUAAAGAAUAAUGAAAAAAAAAUCCUUUAGCAUUAAGGAUGGGAGAAAUUUAGACAUACUUAAUUAAAAUUACUGUGGACCAAGCCUAAAUGUAUUUUGCAAUAAAUUACUAGAACUAGAACUGAUUUUAAGGGAAGGAGGAAUUUAUUAGCUGCCUGUGUUUCAGUUCAUUUGUAUUCCUGGUCCUUUUCAUUUCCUUUUCACUAUAAAACAUUUCUCAGGCUCAGUGAGCAGAUGUGAAAUAGGUUCUGUGACUCCUUGUAAUUAAAAUGGUCAAGAUCAGAUGGGUUUCUGCAGUAAUAGUGGUACAAUAAAACCAGGAUGUAGCCUGCAGUGGGAAUUCUUGUGCUUUUGUUGCUCUCAAAACAUUUUCCUCUCAAAAUCUAGCUCUGUAGCAAACUAUAAACAUUCUUCUGCUCCUGAGAGUUAUUUGUGAAGAAACUUGGAGUAUUUAUUGUGUGACAGGGCUGUGCAUCUUUGUGUCUGGCUCACAGACCAUUUUCACACAGCCGUGAUCCAGAAUGGGGGCAGCUACAAAUAUGACGGUUUUCUCUUGCCUACUUUACUUUUCAGAUUUUUAUUAUGUGAUUAUUGCAUUAAUUUUCUCUAUAUAUCUGAAAUAAUUUACCAUACAGUUUUGAAUAUAGUAUGAAUAUAUAUUUUACUCUUAAAAAUCUGAAAAUGAGUUAUAUUUAAUAGUAGUUUGUGAGUAGCAUGUCAAUCAAGCCUUAAAUAUACCAGUCAAACUCUUCAAUAAACCAGUAUUAUCAGUCAAUCUCUUCAAUAUAUUACUAUGUUUAUAUAUGAUUUUAUUUAUAUUAAUAUAUGAAAAUGUAGUAACUUUUUCUAUUUAUGCUAAUGACAGUUUUAAUUUACAGUGACUUUGAUAGCUGUGAUUGCACAUAGUUGGGGAUGCACUUAACUCCUUGCAUACAUAAGACUUCCUUUACUAUCCAGUGUAUGUUAUGCACCCUAAACCAAGCACCACUGCAUUAAAUGAUGUUGUUACUGCCGAUUUCAUUGGUUCUUUUUUCAAGUUUCUCAUAAUUAAAAUAUUUUUGAGAAUUAAGCCGUGUUCAACAGAAAAUAAUCCUUUCUGAGCAGUUGAUAAUUACUAGGAAAGUAUAUAAUAACUGGGAACAUAUUGGCUUGAAAAUGCAAUAAACAGGUAAAGACUAUUAUGUUAUUAUGUUGAAAAUUCAAAUAGCAUAAUUUGUCAGGCAUCUUCUGUGAAAAUAUGACUGAAUUGUUAAAAAUAUUUUCUCAAGGAAAAUAUAAUUUUAAUUUCUUAUAUGUGCUGAUAGGAAUAAUUUUUGGAAAACUAAAAAGAGGACAGAACCCAUAGUAAACAUAAAUGUAUACAUAUAUGGAUAGAUAUGUAUGUGUGUAUAUGCACACGUAUAUAUAAAGGUACACAUAUAUGUACUUAACAUAGUGAACAGUGUUUUAUUUUGAAUGUCAGAUAAAUAAAAAGCAGGAUGUUGGUUAAACAAUUUAUUUUCUGAAGAGGAUUGUCUCAGAGCACUUACUAAUUUUUUAUUUCAAGGUUCCUGUUCAUAUUCUGGAAACAACAUCACAACAACUCAAGGCAUGGAAUGUCAGGUCAAACUGAAAAUAACACUGAAAAGAUACCCCAAUAGGUAAAAUAUGUAGUUGUUUAUAUCAAACUCUCUCUCUGUGUAUAUGGGAUAAUGUACAUAUACCCAUAUGUAUAUGGAUAAGCAAUAAGGAGUGACUAAAAUCAUCAGAUAAACAUAGUGAAUGCGUAUUGUAAACCAGAUCAACAGUAAGGAGCAAAAGCAGGUUUUAAAUAACCACAUGUUGAACAAAUUCAUAUUGGACCUUUUAAAAUCAAUAACUGUGCUUAAAGUACAGCUAUUGUAUUUAUUUGUGUGCACUUAGAGUGAUAUAGAUGUCUUUUGAAAUACUGCUUAUUUUUCUUUAUCUGUCCUUAUAUAGGACCACCACAGAACAUUUUUUGCUAUCUAAUGCAACACUGCUGUGCCCCCUUGUUUAACAACUAUUCCACCACAAAUCUUUGAUUAUUCUUUUCUUUUUUUUAGUGGUUAUUUUAAGAAAAUUUCUCAAAUCACACAAUUUAUAGGGAGUUUACCUUUUCCCCCAGAGUUCUCAUGUAGGUAAUUAUUGUAGAGAGUUAACAUUCCUGUCCUGAAUCUGAUUUAAUGUACAGAUACCGAUGCAUCAUUUAACUAUGGCUAGUCACUUUAUGAAAGUGUAAAAAAAAUUUUACAAGACAGAUAUUCACUGUGAUUCUGCAACAAGGUGUGGUUCAGCUCUAGCUACUCCUGUCCCCAACCACCUGCUCCCAAACCUGAAUCAAAGAAAUUAAAAGGGUUUUUUUGAGAGUUGAAGUGUUACAUGCAGUUCAAAUAAAGGUGACAGUCUCAAGCAAAAGAAAGGUUUUAUUUCAGCUCUAAUCUACUGUUUUAUUUGAUAUCAGAGAAAAAAUAUUCAGGUCUGUAUUCAUUAUCUUAAAUCGGUGUGUGGUUGUUUGUAUGUUUGGGAUGCUGCCUCUGUAAUUGAAUUACCAGUCACUUCAUCUAGGACUUACUGGGCUCUAUUGCACAUGGAAAUAGCGUCUUCAUUACUUAACUACAGAAGGUAAAUGUGCUUGCAUUUCACUAUUAAAAAGAAAGAGUACUUUACCAUUUGUGUUUUUAAAUGGGCAUUAUUUUUCCCCAGUGAUUCUUCCAAUGAAAAAGAAUGGGGCAAAAUUCAGUAAAAUGUUCAUAUUGACCCUGACUAUAAAUGUGUAGUCAUACAACUCUUAGAAGAGUUUCAAAGCUCAAUAAGGGACAGUGGCUAACUGUAUGAAAUAUUCAAAAUAGAUGUAUGAACACAUGUUUACUAUGCUAUCUCACCUAUUCAGUUUAAUCUCAAUUUCAGGUAGUUAAUAUUGAAAAAACAUAAUUGAUUUGAUGCUGCAAUUUUUCAGGCUGCCGUGGUUAAAGCUGUCAUACCCCUGUAAUUUAUUCUAGAAGUUUACAAACAUGACUUGGGCUAUAAUAGAUGCCUCUGUUUAUUACAGGUGGUGUGAACUGAUUUUCUUUCAUACACUUUGAAGAUUACAAACACCAGCUUCUUUCUAAGCACUUGAUAUGAUAGAUAAUUUAAAUAGGAGUCUGCUAGGUAAUGUGGAGAGUUUUCUCAUCUCUAUGCUUUCCGGGCUCGUGUCAGCAACAGGGCGAGAGAGCUCGCAGAACAGUCUUGCAAAUGCUUUCCAGCGUGGAGAAGGGAUUUGUUUUCUUUGGUUUUCUGCCUCGUGAAUGUAUUUGGUGGUUGUAGGACUCUGGUUUAUAUUCAUAAAAUUAAAAGGCUAAUGUGGUUUACCA